AGGACACUAGCAAGCCAAACUAUGAUACAACUGUAAAAGUCAUUUCUGCUUAUGUCAGCUGUGGCAUAGAGACCUGGGAGGGAAGGUCGCCAACUUGGCCUGUUCAAUCUCCAAUAAUGAAGAAGGCGUGAAGCUCGUUCGGAUGUCUGCAAGUCAGUUAGAAGCGCUCUGUCCUCAGGUUAUCAAUGCUGCGUUGGCUUUAGCGGCAAAGCCACAGAGUAAACUGGCCCAAGAGAACAUGGAUCUUUUUAAAGAGCAGUGGGAAAA
rnacentral:lncRNA from 1 species